rnacentral:rRNA from 1 species
UACAGAGGGGGCCAGCGUUAUUCGGAAUUAUUGGGCGUAAAGGGCGCGUAGGCGGCCUUGCGUGUCUUUCGUGAAAUCCCUCGGCUUAACUGAGGACGUGCGGAAGAAACUGCAGGGCUUGAGUCCGGGAGAGGGGGGUGGAAUUCCCAGUGUAGCGGUGAAAUGCGUAGAUAUUGGGAGGAACACCCGUGGCGAAGGCGGCUCUCUGGGACGGUACUGACGCUGAGACGCGAAAGCGUGGGGAGCGAACAGG